UGGGGAAUAUUGCACAAUGGGCGCAAGCCUGAUGCAGCGACGCCGCGUGGGGGAUGAAGGCCUUCGGGUUGUAAACUCCUUUCGCUAGGGACGAAGCCUUGUUAGGUGACGGUACCUGGAGAAGAAGCACCGGCUAACUAAGUGCCAGCAGCCGCGGUAAUACGAAGGGUGCGAGCGUUGUCCGGAAUUACUGGGCGUAAAGAGCUCGUAGGUGGUUUGUCGCGUCGUCUGUGAAAUCCCGGGGCUUAACUUCGGGCGUGCAGGCGAUACGGGCAUAACUUGAGUGCUGUAGGGGAGACUGGAAUUCCUGGUGUAGCGGUGAAAUGCGCAGAUAUCAGGAGGAACACCAAUGGCGAAGGCAGGUCUCUGGGCAGUAACUGACGCUGAGGAGCGAAAGCAUGGGUAGCGAACAGG
rnacentral:rRNA from 1 species